AAGUCCCAGGGAGCCGCCGGGGAGGGUUGAUUGGGCGCUCACGGGGCGUGCAGUGGCAAAGCGAGACCAUUUCCCGGCAAGAGCGCCAGUUCUCUGCUCUGCUCGGCCGGGAAGUCCGGGGCGGACGAGCGGAAAGCUCUUCCAUCCAGGCCAGCUGCCUGGAGCAAGCCGAGUGGCCUGGAUGUCCCUGAUUGUUGUUGUUGUUGUUGUUUAUACUGCGAGCACGAAAUUACUCCCCAGGGCCUCCUCCCCCGCCCGCUCCACCUGCUCCUCCCUCCUGUUGUAACAUGCCAUUAGAGAGCCUGCGACCUCAUUUCCAAGGGUGCUAGAGUUCGCAUUCAGCCACCAUGGGGAAUGGGAUGAACAAGACCCAGUUUAUGGAAGAACUGUGUGAUUUGGGCCUGCAUAUCUGAGACUUUAUGAUCCUGCCUGGCCUAUACAUUGGCAACUUCAAAGAUGCCAGAGAUGCAGAGCAACUGAGUAAGAACAAGGUGACACAUAUUCUGUCUGUCCAUGAUAGUGCCAGGCCUCUGUUGGAGGGGGUUAAAUACCUGUGCAUUCCAGCAGCGGAUUCACCGUCUCAGAACCUGACAAGACAUUUCAAAGAAAGUAUUAAAUUCAUUCACGAGUGCCGCCUCAGGGGUGAGGGCUGUCUUGUACACUGCCUGGCGGGCGUCUCCAGGAGUGUGACUCUGGUGAUCGCAUACAUCAUGACCGUCACCGACUUUGGCUGGGAGGAUGCCCUGCACACUGUGCGUGCAGGGAGAUCCUGUGCCAACCCCAACCUGGGCUUCCAGAGACAGCUCCAGGAGUUCGAGAAGCAUGAAGUCCACCAGUACCGGCAGUGGCUGAAGGAAGAAUAUGGAGAGAGCCCUUUGCGGGAUGCAGAAGAAGCCAAAAACAUUCUGGGUAAAUAUAAAGAGCAAGGGCGUGUGGAGUCCCAGCCUGGUACAAGGCGGUGGAGCAGCUUUCAGACCCUGCCUCCUUUGGCCUACAGCAACUAUACGACGGAGACCUAGUAACUGAGUGAUCUGGUGCCUACCUUUCCAUCCCUUGUCUUCAGUGCAUUUCUGCUGGGUGCCCGGGUGUGCUGGCUGCCCCCAUGGAGGACAGGAAAGGGAGGGUGGCAAAGGUGGAUCCAGGUUCCCUCUCCAUGAAUCCACCAGCCCUGCCCCAGGCCCCUUCAUCCUGCCCACUCCUGCCCUGCCUGAGUUUGGAGAGUCUGCUUGACUGCCCCGCACCAUCUCAUGCAUGCGCCUGUGUGCAGGCAAGUGAGCGUGUGUGCCCAUGCGGGUGGGCAUGUGAACUCCAAAUGUUCAUAUUGCUGGAACAGUCACAGAAUCCAUGAUGCCAGGCUUGGUGUCACCACCUUUCCUUUUGUCCAAGACUCCACAUGGAAAUAGCAUCUUAAAAGCUGUUCAGCCUAAACAAGCCUGUGGCUGGGAGCAGACCGAACCCAGAGUGGUCAUGGUGAGGGCAGCAGGAAGCCAGUCUCCCUCCUGAGGGUAGUUCCAGGGGCCCUGAAAGGUGUGUGGGGCUGUGCUCUGAACAUUGCCUCAAUCUUAAUGAAAGUGCUCUAAGCUGUGAUUCCUACCACCUCAAGACCCUCAUCUCAACCCAUAAUAUCCCUGAGUUCUUCUUGGUGUAAGUUCUGAGUGGCACUGACCAUAUUUCAGUUCCAUGGGAACCACACCACAUCAGCCCAAGCUAUAUGCCCAGAGCUCUCUUCCAUUCUCCUCUUGUCCAGCUUCACUUACUCUCAACCUCUUGUUUUCUUGCUGUUGUAAUUCUGCAAGGGUGUCUUUGCAACAUCUGCAUGCAUCUUCAGGAAUUGGAAAGAAAGAGCAUUUAUUAGGCACUGUAGCAAGUUUGCAUUUAAAAAUACAUUUUAAAACGCCUGCAUACUUAUUAAGCACCGUCGUAUAUCCUGUGGAUUUGAUAUUUGAUCUCAGCUACCUCAUUAAAUGUUUUUUUGAAAAAGUAUUUUUGUUAUUAUAAUCAGCUCAUGGUCGGAAAUGUUUCGUCAUGAUUGCUUUUGAAUCCAAAGGGCAAAAACAUCAGUAUCAUUGAGCUAUUUAAAAUUUCUACUUGAGCUCCAAUAAUGCUUUCUGGUGGGUAAAAUUCUACAUUCAGGCCAAGCCCAACAGGGCUGGAGAGCAUCUGCAGUUUGCAGCAUGGAGCAACAGGAUCCUGGAAUCUGUGAGCAAUUUUGUGGUCCAGUCUUUUAUGCCAGCUCAAAUUGUUUAAGCACACAAAAUCACAAGAAUGAAAAAGUUUACUUGCCUUCUCCCUAAAAAGAUGUUGCAGCCCAAUUUCUCCAAAUUCCACCAACAACAGAGCCUCUGACUAAGAAGAGCAGCUUUCCCCAUGCAUAUAAAGCAUAUGUCACAGCUACUGCAGGAAUUCUGAAGUACUUGGCCUUUCUCAGAAGACUGUAAUAUACCUGAAGUUUCUGAAAUAGUGCAAAGCUGCAGAGUUUAGGCUGGUGCUGCCAAAAAGAAAAGCAACCGAGAGUUUAUUUUUAAGUUUCCAGAAGUGAUGUGUAACUUGUUUUUCAUUUUAAACUGAAUAUAUGUGUAAUGAUAUAUGUUGAGAACUAAAGAUACUCUUCAGCAAGAGAAAAUAUUUUUACCUUAAUGCCACUGCUACAGCUACUUCUUUAACCUUAACUUUGGGAUUUAUAAAGCAAUCUCAAGAGCCCUGCUGCACUGUUUUGGUAACUGUUUAGUAAUCAUGAUUGCUUCUCAUGAGAAUUGUGCUGUGUAAACUCUGCUCAUGUGCUCUUAAAUUCCCCAGCUUGGGAAAUAUUUUUUGGUGUGUGCUCUACCCACGGUUUGUGUUCUCCUUGGUGGACUUUACCAAAAGCUACACAUUUUUGUUAACAAAGGGCAACCGAGCAUUUAACUUCAUAUGCAAUGCACUCUUCCUUUGCUGAAGUGUGGAUGUCAUAUGUGUUUCUGCCUGUGAGGGUUGUGAAGCAGGAUCGGAAUCUGCUCCUGUAGCAGUAAUGCUGGUUUAAUGGCAGAGGCCACAGUUUCCUCCAGAAGGUAGUACAGAGAGCACUCAGGAGAAGUGAAUUAAUUUCACCAUGAGAGAAAAAUUGAUCCUCAAUGUGAACAGAAAGAAAUCCAGAAAUUGGACUCGUAUUUCUCUUGACCACACGUGAGCACUGAUUAUGUGGCACUAAUGGAAUUACUGCAUUUGCCACAAGGCUGCAUAGCCCUGGUGCUCCAUGAACACUGGCUGCACAUUGUUGAAUGAAGUUUACUCUGAUUCCAUAUUUAGCUUUUAAUUUGAAGAAACACAGACUGGCUUGAAGAGCGAUUUAAGUCCAUUUCCUAAAUUGUCCUUGUCUAAAUCCAGGGGAAGAAGAAGGAGAUUUAACUUUUGACUCCAGGGAUAAUUUGGGCCUGAACUAAGGAUACAGGAGCUAAUAUACGUGGACCCUUUAACUGUAGGUGGCAGGCUUCACCUGUAUUCUGAGUGUCUGCUUUGAAUGCCUGGAAGCUCCUGACAAGGGCACAGGAAAGGGGCUGGAAUGGAGAUGACCCUCUGUACUGGCAGCAGCCCCUGCCGGUGUGGGAUGAUAUUCACUGAUCAGUGUCAGUCAUUAAAAUGCUUAUUCUGACUCAACAGGCCUGUCUAGAUGUAGCCCAGGUAAUCCAGUUGUAGAACCUCUGAGUACUCUCAUGUGCCAGCCUUAAAAGCCCUGAGAUGUCUCCACUUCCCACUCAUGAGGGUGUGCCAGAGCCUUGUCUCUGUGGAAAAGCACAGAGCCUCAGCAAGACCUCUGUGCUGUGUGUAGGACAUGAGGCAGCAGAAUUAGGAAAAUAGGUGUUUUGGUGAUGGCCUCAGUCCAGUAGGGUCACCCACCCCUCACAGCCUAACAUCCUUUCCUGUCCCCCUCUUCUUGCCAUAGGACCAGAUCUGGCACCAACAAUAAUCCUCUAAUAAUUGUCUGGUGUUCUGUGGGUUACAAACUAUCACUGUAAAGCUUUAUAAACUCACAGAGGGAAUUAUUUUAUUUAUUCACGUCUCAAAGAGGCCAAAAAAUACACCCCAAACUGAAAAUGUUAGUUCUGCUUUGCUUGAAUUUUGAUCUUUUAAUUCCGAAUCAGUGGGUUAAGUGAGAGGGAGGAGCUGAGCUGCCCCUGCACUUUGAACACAGAAGUUUAUAAGGCUCUAAUGAGGGUCAAGGGAGAACCAGCACCCCUGCAGCAAAGCAAUAUGGCUGCUGAAGCCAGAACCUCUCUUUGGUUGCUUCCACCCCAACACACACCCCUUUCUCCUUGGGGAGUUUGUUUGGGGCCCCAUCAGUGGAGUUGGCAGUUAGGAAAAUUGACAAUUACAGAGUGGGUCAUAAGGACUAGUUUAGGUGCUCCUGGUGCUAUGUGGCAGGGGAGGGGAAGAGAAAAACCAUUCCAGUUUCAGGGUGAGGAAGGCAGUGUUUAGGGAAGGCAUCUUGGAAGAAGUAAUACCUAAUUUGAGACUUCAAGCUUAAGAGCUAAAAUUAGUUGGGCAUAGUGGGAGGAAGGGGAGUCCAGGCACAGGCCCAGCAUGUGUGUUAACAUGGUGGCAUGAGGGAGCACAGUGCACUGGGAUGACCCUAAGAUACUCUGUGUGACUAAAGCAAGAACCAAGGAGUGGGCAGUGUUGGUAAGUGAUACAGACAAAACUGUACACACAAGCAAGGGCCCGGUCAGCCAGGUUGAUACUAUUGCUUAGUAUCUGUAUAUAUAUUAGUAUUCAGUAACUGGUUUACUUCUUAUACUAGCCCUUGGAGCUAAUCAAGCUCAGAGGUCAUGUCCUGCCAGCUUCCCACAGGGCUGAUUUCUGAGCUUAGAGCCUCACAAGAAGCAUGCAUGCCAUUAUGCAGAUGUAAUGAAUAGAGGUGGGGGCUGGCUACACUUGCUAGAGCGAGCAGGUACCAUGGUUGGUUGGCGUGUAGGUGGAGAAUGGAGGGUCCAUAUUGGAGGCCAGUCAGGGGCAGCUGUUAUAGUCAUCCAGGUGAUGGAAGAUGAUGCCCUGAACAGGGUCAUGGUGAUGGAGAUGAAGAGGGACAAAGAAGGCAAAUAGAUUUGGGCUUGAGGGAGUUUGGGAAGGGAGAAACAAAUGCUCUCAGUACUGGAUUGAAUGUGGGGGACUAUGGGUUUUGUGGCCUUUACACUCUGGAAUCUAGCUUCCAACACAAUGGUCCUUUGUGUCAACAUCCUACUUUCCUUUGAUGUCGGUGUGUGGGUUCUGAAAUGUCAAGGUUAGAUUUAAGGGGACUGCCAGACCUGGGGCCUCCAAGGACAAUCAUCCCAGCUUUGCAAAUUAGGUCAAAUUUAUCCAUGCACCCAGAACAGACUCCCAGGAACUAGAUUCAUAACAAUGUGGAAGUCAAAUGUCCAAUUUUGUAAUUUAUUGUGAAAGAUAAAAAAAAAAAAGUAGCUUUAUGAAAACCAAUUUUAUUCACUAGGCUAUCUCUCUUUCAUUGUCAGGAUUUUGGAGGAAGACAAAUUAGUCAUUAGGCAUUGUCUUAUGAGAUGGACAUGGAGCUAAGAGCCUUGGCAAGGAGGCGGGGGAUAAUCCUGAUCUGGUGUGCCCCAUAAUCAGAUUGAUAUUCCCAUAACAUACUUAAGUGGUAUUUCUACCAGGCUCCUGUUUUGCGCCCUGAAGUUAUCUUUCCAGGGUCUAGUGGACCAUCAAGUUUAUGUACUCUCUCUGCCCAAGGUGAUCUUGGACUUAAAUCACAUUUUUAGAGCAACUUCAUUUUUUAAAAAAUUUUAUUUUGUUUUUUUUCAGUGUUCCAAGAUUCAUUGUUCAUGCACCACACCCAGUGCUCCUUGCAAUACGUAGAGCACCUUCAUUAACCUUGGGUAUCCUUAUGUGUCUUCAGUAGCAUUUAUGCUUUUCUGUGGGGAUAGGUUCCCACUCGUGGCUUUUUUUCUUAUUUAUUGGGUGCCUAUUCUUUCUAGUUUCUGUCUCAGCAGGGAACCUCACUUCCAACUUCUGGGUCUGUUUUGUGUUCCUCUUGCAUAGAGACAGCUUAUAAAAUCUGGUGAUUUGUGUGCAUGUGUGUGUGUGUGUGUGUGUGUCUGUGUGUGUGUGUGUGCACAUACACCUGUGUCUUAUGUUUUUAUUAGCUUUAGAGAAAUCCUUAGCUUUCAGGGGAGUCAUGUGUGCAACAUCAAGGGUAACUUGAGCUCGGGUACCUUAAAUGGCAGGUACUUGGGGCACCCAAGGAAAUGUCAGAGCCCAUAUUGCACAACUAGAGCUAGUCACGAAGAGCUGCUCUGCACACCAGUAUCUAGUCAUAAAAAUAGGGAACACACUAAAAAUCAAAACCCUGUGAUCCCACACUAGAUGACUCCUCCCAUCCUGACCCUAAGUUAUUAAUAAUUUUAUUAAGAAUGUGCUUUCAACAUGCUUACAUUUAUAUAUGUACUUAACAAGAAAUCACCAAGACUCCAGAGGGAAGUUCUUCUUCCCUUUCCUUUUUAUUGCCCAGAGAAAGAGAGAAACUGCGAAGAAGGAGGGGGCAAAAAGCUGCAUUUGACUUGUCACCGGAGGCUUGAGCAUAUCAAUCAUUCACUUCUUAGAAUUCAGUAGGGUCUCCUGAGGCCUUGGGUUCAUUGAGACUGUCAUGGACUUGGAUGCAUGUAAUGCACUGGCCACAUUUCAUCAUGCAGACAGAUCUUGACACUUUGCUCUUGUUUUCCUAUCCCCACUCUAGAUCUUGAGACCUGUCACUGCAGUAACAGGACAUAAUUAGUUCAGCCAGUACCAAAAUUAGUAAUCAACAUUGGUAUCUAUUUUGCAGCUAAGGCUUAACCACCUAAUAAGCAUCCGAGUAAACGUUGCAAGUGCUGUGCCUGUGUCUCUUUCCAUCAGGGGAAAGAACUGCCAGUCCGCAUUUGAACAUCUGCACGUUUAGGUUUAUUUUGGCUCUGGAUAUCUAUGCAAACUGUUGAUCAAGAGUUAGUAAUUUGCAGUUAAUUUUCCUGAAGUUUCCAGUUCACUUAUUAGAGUCUGGUGUCAAAAGAGCUAUUUUAGCAGGUGACUGAAAUUACUAGGCAGUUCAACAUUCUGAGUGUGAUGUUGACUAGUUAGAGGUGGGGUUAGGAGAUAUAUUGAAUGGGAUUGUACCUGAGCACAUCCUUCAUUCAAAGACCUACUUAAGAAAACUAGAUAAGGGGGCGCCUGGGUGGCUCAGUGGGUUAAAGCCUCUGCCUUCAGCUCGGGUCAUGAUCCCAGGGUCCUGGGAUCGAGCCCCACAUCGGGCUCUCUGCUCAGCAGGGAGCCUGCUUCCUCCUCUCUCUGCCUGCUUGUAAUCUCUGUCUGUCAAAUAAAUAAAUAAAUAAAAUCUUUAAAAAAAAGAAAACUAGAUAGGAGCCAGAGGUUUAAAAAAAAUAAAACUUUGAUUUUUGUGGGGUUAACAAUUUCUUCUAGAAAUAAUGUAGUUUAUGCUGAUCACACCAUUUGUCUAUUUGCCCAACUUGACCCAAGGAGGCCGCAUUACAGUGGCCUUUCCAUUUAGCUUCUUAGUCUUCCAGGACACAUAUCAGUGACAAGCAAAUAUGUGAUGAAUGGAACAUUGCCAUCAACAUGGUGUUGGUCCCUCUCUCCCCUUCAAGUCUGUUGAUCGAUCACCAAGUGCUUUGCCCUCAGCCUCUUGUGCCCUUCACCAGAAGUGGCCAAACCAGCACAAACAGGAACCAUACUUUCUGGUGAGCAGGUUUGCCUUUUGUUUGUUGGCUAUGGGUUUUCCCAAGGCACUGAUAUGGAGCCUUUUUGGAAAAUAAAAAUCAAAAACCCUCCACAUGUGCACUAAAGAAAUGUCACCUUCUGCUUUGCAAAGGGUGUGCCCUUCAAGGCAAGAGACCCAAGUAGCACUGAGCUUCCUCAGAAUGGGAGUCCCUAGAGAAGCUUGUCAUGUGCCAGGGGUCAGAUGUUUGUAUUCUCCUUGGUUCAUGUUAAGCCACACUGAUAUGGUGGCAGAGAGAAAGGCAAGAAGGUGUGAAAGGAGAGGACCAUUUCUCAACUGUUUGCAGAAGCCUUCAUGAAUCUCCCCAAAUCAGGUGCAUCCCAGAGGUGUACUGAAGAUGUGGGCUAAAGCCCAUUUCAUGCCUUGAUAAUUCACUAUCCUACAGCAGACAGGCCUAUUUUCUGCUUUGCCAGAACCCCUUCCCAUCAUCUUCCACCUUCCAAGAGCAGAAAGGCACAGGUCCUGAUAGAGUAGGUUGGAGGAGAUGAGAGGCCAAGGUCUCUCUGGUGACCAGGCAGCCAAGAUAGUCACAGGCCAGACAGGCCUGACUAAGGUCCAUUUUAAUCCCCAUUCUCUGGAAUACCUUGGGGAAGUCCCAGAGGAGGCAACCCACUCAUGUGGGGAACUUCUUCUAAGACUGGAGUAAAGAAGCUCUGUAGAAGAGAUGAGCAGAGCUAGAGGACACCAUGUGUCAUGGCACAGUGAUGUGCCCAGAGACAGCCUCAUAGCCUUCCUGGGUAGCAUUUUAUGUGUCUAGAAAGGCCUUUCUAAUUGUGAAGAGCUCCCAUGUAGGUUACAAGACAAUCAGCCUCUUGAUGGUCAACAGUUAUUCAGCACUUAAUAUGGGAGAGAAGCUGGCAUUGAGACUUUUUCUUGAAAUCUCUUCUGACAACAAUCUUAUGGGAUAGAUUUUACUAUGGGAGGAACUAAGUUCUAGAAAAUUUGAGCAUUACCCAGUCUCAGGGCCAGAAAGUGACCAAGUGAGGAUUGUAAUCCAAGGAAUCUGGCUCAGGUGUGCCUAAAUGUCACUACUUCUUUCAAAAUGCCACUACUCCUGGGAGGCUAAGCUAAUAAAGUGCUAACAGUCAUGUGUACUCAUGUUCAAGUUUUUUUCUGAAGGUGGGUUUAUGUUAGAUUAGAGGCCUAGUGGGAAGAUUAAGGUGGAAGAUUGCUAAGUAUAGUUAAAUAGGCACAUGAGAAAGGCAUUUCUUUUUUCUUUCCAUCAAAGCCUGGCCAUUGUGUGUACACUAUUGCUGCCACACAUACCUCUGACUGGGUAUUUCUGAUUUAGCCUAGAGUAGCAGGCAGAGUACUGAGAUACCCUAGGGCCCCAGGAGGCCCUUUGCAAGAACAUAGAAUGGCCAUGUGUGUACAGGAAGAGGAAAGAGAGUGCCUGUUACUUUAAGCAGAUGGUAUUCUGUCUUUGAUGUGCCAUCAUUAUACAAAUAGAGGAACCUCAGUGAAGUUUUUUCAAGAAGCUCAGGGAUUUGCUGCCACCCAAGUCAAAUAACUCACAUGGAAACAUUCAUCAAGGACAGAGACGUGGAAAGCAACAGUAGAUGUCAAAGCAACCAGAGACUGACAGGACCUCCUUCCAAUCCCUGGGGCUGAGGGCCAGGGCUGAGAGAUGGAGUUACUAGAGCCAAGUAAAAAGUGAGCCAUGAAGGGGUGCCUGAGCAGGGCAGGUCUUUAAGAAGUAAGGGAGACUGGGAGGAAGCAGAGUAGAAGUCUCCCAUCUGGGGCGCCUGGGUGGCUCAGUGGGUUAAGCCGCUGCCUUCGGCUCAGGUCAUGAUCCCAGGUCCUGGGUUUGAGCCCCACAUCGGGCUUUCUGCUCAGCAGGGAGCCUGCUUCCUCCUCUCUCUCUGCCUGCCUCUCUGUUUACUUGUGAUUUCUCUCUGUCAAAUAAAUAAAUAAAAUCUUUAAAAAAAAAAAAAAAGAAAAAAGAAGUCUCCCAUCUAUUAUCCUCUUGUCCUAUCUCCCUGUACCUAAUGGGAAGCUGGCCAGCAGAGGAUUUUGCAUGCCACGUCCAUGGGGGACAGAACAGUGUGAUUACCGUACAAUAGGCAGCCCUGGUGGGCGGAGACACAGUGAUAGGAUGGAGGAAGUGCCACAAGCUUCCAAGAAGUAUCUAAGUGUCAACAAGCUGAUACUAAAAGUGGGCCUGAGUGGGGAGCCUGGGUUCUCCUACACACUUUGUCCUGAAGUAUGCUAUCUGGAGCUUGGCCUGUGACUCACUGCUUUCAUCUUUAGAAAGCUUUUAGAAGCAUCCAUGUCUGCCAGUAUGCCCCUGCUGAUCUGUGCUUUCUUAUGGCCUUUCUGGAGAAAUGACACCCUCUAACAUUAAGGCCAUCAGCCAUGACAUCUGAGCCUCUGCUACAAAUUGUGCCCAUGUGAGAGGCCCUACCCCCUGUACUGAAGCCCAUGAAGAGGAGGGA